rnacentral:rRNA from 1 species
UCUCAAGCGUGACAAGGGCAUCUGGUGGAUGCCUUGGCACUGGAAGGCGAUGAAGGACGUGGCACCCUGCGAAAAGUUCCGGGGAGAUGGGAGCAAUCUUUGAUCCGGAAAUGUCCGAAUGGGGAAACCCACCGCAUCUGUGGUAUCCACACCUGAAUUCAUAGGGUGUGGAAGCGAACCCGGCGAACUGAAACAUCUAAGUAGCCGGAGGAAAGGAAAUCAACCGAGACUCCGCAAGUAGUGGCGAGCGAACGCGGACCAGCCCAGUGGCUGCAGUGAAACAACCGGAAACGUCUGGAAAGGCGUGCCAGAGCGGGUGACAGCCCCGUACGGGUAAAAAACACUGUAGUCCUCGAGUAAGGCGGGACACGUGAAAUCCUGUCUGAACAUGGGGGGACCACCCUCCAAGGCUAAGUACUCUCCAGUGACCGAUAGUGAACCAGUACCGUGAGGGAAAGGUGAAAAGCACCCCAACGAGGGGAGUGAAACAGUUCCUGAAACCGGAUGCCUACAAGCAGUCGGAGCGGAAUUCCUUCGGGAAUGUCCGUGACGGCGUACCUUUUGUAUAAUGGGUCAGCGACUUACCGUAUCGAGCAAGCUUAAGCCGGCAGGUGUAGGCGAAGCGAAAGCGAGUCUGAACAGGGCGUUCAGUUCGAUGCGGUAGACCCGAAACCAGGUGAUCUAGCCAUGGUCAGGUUGAAGGUGGAGUAACACCCACUGGAGGACCGAACCCACGUCUGUUGAAAAAGACGGGGAUGAACUGUGGCUAGGGGUGAAAGGCCAAUCAAACCUGGAAAUAGCUGGUUCUCCGCGAAAGCUAUUUAGGUAGCGCGUCGGAUCUAUACCGCCGGGGGUAGAGCACUGGAUCGGGACGGGGGGCGCGAGCCUUACCAACUCGAACCAAACUCCGAAUACCGGCGAGUACUGUCCGGCAGACAGACGGUGGGUGCUAAGGUCCAUCGUCAAAAGGGAAACAGCCCAGACCGCCAGCUAAGGUCCCCAAGUCAUGGCUAAGUGGGAAAGGAUGUGGGACGGCCAAAACAACCAGGAGGUUGGCUUAGAAGCAGCCAUCCUUUAAAGAAAGCGUAACAGCUCACUGGUCUAAUUAAGCUGUCCUGCGCCGAAGAUGUACCGGGGCUAAAGCCAUGCACCGAAGCUGCGGGCUUGUCUAUGACAAGCGGUAGCGGAGCGUUCCGUAAGCCGGUGAAGGCAAACUGUGAGGUUUGCUGGAGGUAUCGGAAGUGAGAAUGCUGACAUGAGUAGCGACAAACAGGGUGAGAAACCCUGUCGCCGUAAGUCCAAGGGUUCCUGCGCAAGGCUAAUCCGCGCAGGGUAAGCCGGCCCCUAAGGCGAGGCCGAAAGGCGUAGUCGAUGGGAACCACGCUAAUAUUCGUGGGCCAGGUGGAUGUGACGCCCGUCGUAAAUCGUUGCUCCUUAUCGGAUUGAAGCAGCGGUGAAGACGGGCCAGGAAAUAACACCACCAACAAUGACCGUACCCGAAACCGACACAGGUGGACUGGUAGAGUAUACCAAGGCGCUUGAGAGAACGAUGUUGAAGGAACUAGGCAAAUUACUCUCGUAACUUCGGAAUAAGAGAGCCUCGCCCGUGGGCAACCACAGGUGAGGGGCACAGACUAGGGGGUGGCGACUGUUUAUUAAAAACACAGGGCUCUGCGAAGUCGCAAGACGACGUAUAGGGUCUGACGCCUGCCCGGUGCCGGAAGGUCAAGAGGAGGGGUGCAAGCUCCGAAUUGAAGCCCCGGUAAACGGCGGCCGUAACUAUAACGGUCCUAAGGUAGCGAAAUUCCUUG